GACGAACGCUGGCGGCGUGCUUAACACAUGCAAGUCGAACGGAAAGGCCUUGCUUUUGUGGGGUGCUCGAGUGGCGAACGGGUGAGUAACACGUGAGUAACCUGCCCUUGACUUUGGGAUAACUUCAGGAAACUGGGGCUAAUACCGGAUAGGAGCUCCUGCUGCAUGGUGGGGGUUGGAAAGUUUCGGCGGUUGGGGAUGGACUCGCGGCUUAUCAGCUUGUUGGUGGGGUAGUGGCUUACCAAGGCUUUGACGGGUAGCCGGCCUGAGAGGGUGACCGGCCACAUUGGGACUGAGAUACGGCCCAGACUCCUACGGGAGGCAGCAGUGGGGAAUAUUGCACAAUGGGCGGAAGCCUGAUGCAGCAACGCCGCGUGCGGGAUGACGGCCUUCGGGUUGUAAACCGCUUUCGCCUGUGACGAAGCGUGGGUGACGGUAAUGGGUAAAGAAGCACCGGCUAACUACGUG
rnacentral:rRNA from 1 species